AUUGAACGCUGGCGGCAUGCCUUACACAUGCAAGUCGAACGGCAGCACGGGAGCAAUCCUGGUGGCGAGUGGCGAACGGGUGAGUAAAGUAUCGGAACGUGCCCAGUCGUGGGGGAUAACGUAGCGAAAGUUACGCUAAUACCGCAUACGAUCUAUGGAUGAAAGCGGGGGAUCGCAAGACCUCGCGCGAUUGGAGCGGCCGAUAUCAGAUUAGGUAGUUGGUGGGGUAAAGGCUCACCAAGCCGACGAUCUGUAGCUGGUCUGAGAGGACGACCAGCCACACUGGGACUGGGACACGGCCCAGACUCCUACGGGAGGCAGCAGUGGGGAAUUGUGGACAAUGGGCGAAAGCCUGAUUCAGCCAUGCCGCGUGCAGGAUGAAGGCCUUCGGGUUGUAAACUGCUUUUGUACGGAACGAAAAGGUUUGGCCUAAUAAGCUGAGCUCAUGACGGUACCGUAAGAAUAAGCACCGGCUAACUACGUGCCAGCCGCCGCCGUAACAC
rnacentral:rRNA from 1 species